ensembl:lncRNA
AUCACUUACGCCAUUUUAACGCUUCUUCUCCGUCUCUUAUUGGUCGGUUUUCUUCAUCUCCUACAUCCGAUGCGCCACAGAUUUGUAGCGCAUUACCGCCACCUAGUGACUCGGAGAUGUGCGGUGCCUCUUUACUGCGCAUGCGUAAACAUGUUACCGCGCGAUUCAAUCCUCCGCGCAUGCGCAAAUAACAAUCAUGUAAUAUGAGCCCCACCCACUACGUAUGACCACAACCCAAGCUUUGCGACAUCCUAAGAAUCUUCCGUAUAAAUCUUUAGUUUAGUACUGACCAGUACUACUGAAUUUUAGGUCUGUACCACCUACGGUUUGGUGCACAAGAUCAGUUUUUGCAGAGAAAAUUAAUAAAUGAAUAAUAAAGAGUAACAAGAGAAACUUCCUUUGAGGGCGAAAAUGAAAAUAAACCUACGCUAUAACUCGUAACCCUGUGCCAUACCACGCAUGCGCACUAGCGCCCCUGGCAACUUAGCUUUGCGCAUGCGUAGGUGCUUAAACAUAGCGCGCAUGCGCAGUUCGGGUCGGGCAGGGGACGCUGAUGUUUGUUGCAGAAGCAGAAAAGCUCCGUAAAAACAUUGGACUAUUAGAAAAUAUCUAAAAUAUCGGCGAGUCCGUUUGUGCUUCCGAGUCGCUGUCCUUCCACGCAGCAUUCACGCAAAACUAAACUCAGGCUUGUUGAAGUCAAAUUCUUUGUGCACUAACUGCAAGUGUCUGAGCACACAGCUGCAUUUGUACGCGGUCCACGAUGCAGAUCCACCCAGAUCCAGAGAACGUCCUCGUCAUGACAGUCUCGCUGCCUCGACUGGUUCAGCGGCAGUGAGACAGGUCAAAUGUCUGGUCAUGUGACCUGUCCGGGGAGCACAUAGUACACUCCGUGUAAUACACAAACGUACAGUGUUCAUGUACAUGUUAGAAAUAUUUAGCUGUUCAUCAUUAAAAUGUUGUUGAUUUAGUGACGCUUCUGUAGAGUUUAACGUUGACCCGAGCGGUCCGGUCCUGCUGCUCAGUUCUGCACACUGAGUGCUUGUGAGAGUCCGUGUGGUUGUUAUAGCAGCGCUGGAGUUGUGCUGGUUUGUUGGAACGGAGACGAUGCAAUAGAUUUCAGAGAAACUCUGCUGUCAUUCACUUCCCCCUUUUCUCUCUCCGUCUCUCUCUACCUCUCGCUGUCUCUCUCUCUCUCUGUUUCUCAUUCUGUGUCCUCACUUUAAUAGUGCUAAUGGACACGGUUCAAAGACAUUAUGCUCACAAAUGCACUCUAAACAUCUUGAAAUCUUUAGUCUCUCUCACUCAUAUACACACA